GCGGCCCGCGCUCAUAUCCCUGUCGGCCAUUUUGUAUCAGAUUACCGCGGCCGCCGGGCCAGUAGUACAUUUUUACAGAAAAAUACAAUUAUAGGGACUAGGAGGUUGUAAAAUGUAUACAUAAAUAACUUGUUUUGGCUGUUAAGCGUAUCUUUAGGCACGUAAAAAGUAAGUAAAUCGCUCUAGAAAUCUGAAGAAUGCUUACUCGGCAAAACCAUCAGUUUGGGUUUGGAGAAGAAAUUUCAACGAAGACGUCUUGUGAGAACUUGAAGACAUGAGUAGACGAAAGUGCCUGGCAAAUCCCACUGAUGUGCUUUGUGCGUCUGAACAGCCAGCCUGCCACCCUGCCCAGCCCUCACCCAAAAACAUCACAAGAUGAAGGUGAUCAGUUGCAGCAUUUGCAUAGUAUGAAGGAGUAACGCAACCAAGUGAUCAAUGUAUUCAAAAAGAGUAGAUGAGAGUGCCUGGCAAAUCCCACUGAUGUGCUUUGUGCGUCUGAACAGAAACCACUGCAGUGAGGCUUGACAUGGUUAUCCCUCAUUCAUUGCCUGGUAAUACAGUGGAGAAACGUUGUAAGACUGUCUGAAUGAGCUCCUGCUGUUGACGGACAUCCACCAGGCUGUGCAGUGACUGCUGACCAAUAAGGGUUGAAAGGACGGGUAGAGGAGUGGAGGUGGACAUGGAGCCCUUUGUGUUCGACUUCGAAAUACAAGAGGACAUGGAGGACUUCUCGAAGGACUGCCAGGCCGUACUGGCAACAUGUGCCCACCCUAACACUCACACUUUCCCUAAAGUUUUGGUAUCAAGGUCUGUGUCUGGCAGUGCAAUGAACUUGCGCACACCUAGUGGUGUUGCGGUAAGCAACCACUUGGCCAACUGAAACAAAGAUGCGAGGCGAAUUAAUUGUUAUUACCAAAAUAUUGUCAGCAUUUCAGUGCAACAGUGUUUAGAUAAGUACCUAAUAAGCUAGUUGAUCCUGUGGGUUUGUAUUCGAUUUACAACGGCUAACACUCAUAAACAAACAAACACACACACACACUCCCAACAUUUCCUUUGGAUCUCCCACACACUCCAAAACAACUCCAGUUGAGAAAAUGUUCUUUUCUAAUCUCACCAUUACGGUCUUCCUGGAUGAUAUCAGAAUAACAGCCACUCUUGGAAAUGUGUAGUAAAUGCUUUAUUUAUGUACACGUUUAUACUUCAGUUGUUUUCAUUUAGUAUUGUGUUUGCUUUCUUAUCUUAACAAAUACGAUGCUUCAGAGGCUGAGAGUGCACAUAGUUAAAUGUCUGCACAUAUGUAAUUAUUCAUAUUUUAAUUAAAAGUUUAUUUUUGUGUUUUUUUUUGUUUUGUUUGAUUGUCCUGGUCUGUCUUUGGUGGAUUUAAAACUGUGUUUGUCUAAUAAACAAAUUUGAUUUAAUUGAACCAAUUGAAAACAUAGGCUACUUUGGCCUUCCCUUGUCUUUUCCAUUUGGCUAAGUCUUUAAACAGUAAUAUCUGCUAGAAGUAGACCUAUCUACCGGGAGUUGUGGAUGUUUGGGCGCCCUUUGUUAUCAUGACAAGUUUAAAUCAAAGAAAGAUGCAUUUUAUGUUUAUAUUUGGGUUAUCUUAGUUUAACAUGCAGCCUAUGUGAUUAAUCAAAGGUAAGUGCAACAAUACUCAUUAUUUCAAGGUUCUUUGCCGUGAAUUUUAAAGACUGAACAUUGUAGGACUUGUGUACACUAAACUUGUCAUGAUUUAAACAAAAAAAAGCAAAAUAUUAAUGUUUAAGUAGGCCUAUUUUGCUGAUUAGUGGAUUUUAACAGACUGUUAAACAAAAUCCUGCAAUACAAUAACCGUCAGUUAAAUGCAUCAAUAAAUGUCCCA